rnacentral:rRNA from 1 species
GAUGAACGCUGGCGGCGUGCUUAACACAUGCAAGUCGAACGAUGAAGCCCAGCUUGCUGGGUGGAUUAGUGGCGAACGGGUGAGUAACACGUGAGUAACCUGCCCUUAACUCUGGGAUAAGCCUGGAAAACUGGGUCUAAUACCGGAUAGGAGCGUCCACCGCAUGGUGGGUGUUGGAAAGAUUUAUCGGUUUUGGAUGGACUCGCGGCCUAUCAGCUUGUUGGUGAGGUAAUGGCUCACCAAGGCGACGACGGGUAGCCGGCCUGAGAGGGUGACCGGCCACACUGGGACUGAGACACGGCCCAGACUCCUACGGGAGGCAGCAGUGGGGAAUAUUGCACAAUGGGCGCAAGCCUGAUGCAGCGACGCCGCGUGAGGGAUGACGGCCUUCGGGUUGUAAACCUCUUUCAGUAGGGAAGAAGCGAAAGUGACGGUACCUGCAGAAGAAGCACCGGCUAACUACGUG